UACGAAGGGGGCUAGCGUUGCUCGGAAUUACUGGGCGUAAAGCGCACGUAGGCGGAUUGUUAAGUCGGGGGUGAAAUCCUGGAGCUCAACUCCAGAACUGCCUUCGAUACUGGCGAUCUCGAGUUCGGGAGAGGUGAGUGGAACUGCGAGUGUAGAGGUGAAAUUCGUAGAUAUUCGGAGGAACACCAGUGGCGAAGGCGGCUCACUGGCCCGGAACUGACGCUGAGGUGCGAAAGCGUGGGGAGCAAACAGG
rnacentral:rRNA from 1 species